rnacentral:lncRNA from 1 species
GCUUGUCAAACAAAACAAAAAGUAAUGAAAAUGAAAAAAUGGUAUUAUUGUGGAUUGAUGAAGAAAAAAUUUAACAUUGAAUAUUGUGGAUUCACUAUUAUUCGUUGGAUAUCAAUUUUUGUGGGUUUCAUGGGUAAAGGUAAACCACGAAUUUCAAUGUUCCAUGAAUGACAAACUUUAAUUAAGGCUUGUAAAAGGACUUUGGCAAAACCAGUAAGUUAAAUUUCCACGAAA